rnacentral:misc_RNA from 1 species
GCCAUAUCUUACCUGUCCGACAGAAGUCGAAAUCUCAUCAGUGUACUCAACUUAUUCUGUUUAUUGAUAUAUUAUUGCAACAGGUGAUAAUUAACCUAUAAAUAUAGGGCAAUUUUUCUUUAUUAUGAAUUACCAAUAUACAUGCUGUCAUGCAGGUUGAAUUCAUAGACUAUAAGCCUCCUGUAUACUGUAUUCAUUCCCAAAUGUGCCUUUGUGUCUAUGUAUCAUGAAAAACAUGUAGAAAUCAGAUCUAACACAUACUCAACAUUUACAUAUAGUACAUAAAAUGUAUCUUACAACUUAAUUUGAUCUAAAUACUGAUUGUAUUCUAUGAGCAUGUGUGAAAAAACAAGCAUUGGCUCAUGAUGGGAGGAAGCUUGAUGGUCAACUUAUCAACAAUCAGAUCUAAGCUUUGAAUUAUGAUAUUUUUGGCCAUAAACUAUAAACUAUCAUUGAAUUUAAAAAAAUCGAAAUAUUUUAGCUUUAAAAUUUGAAAAUAUACAAUAUCUUUAUACAGAGCUCUUUGUGUAAAGGAGGUAAAUAUAGCCUAAACAUGGUCAUACAGCAUACAGCCUUCUUAAAUGAGCUAACAAUUAAUUCCAUUCUCACAUUUUGUGAAAAGGUGAGAAUGAAAAUGAGCUCAUCUCAUAUUUAUGGUACUGCGAGUAUUAAAAUAGUUUGGCAUUGUCAGGUUGCUUAGCUCAGAUAAUGCUUUUGGAUUGAUACUUUUACAACAUAUACCUGGUAUUGUUAUUUUUGUGUUCCUACAGAGCAUAAUACAUGGUUGUUUAGAAUUUAUGAGGAGGCAUUCUCUUUAUUAUUAUGUACAAAUUAAAAUCAGAUGUUUCAUUGGUUGUGAAAUUUUCUUUGUGUAAAAGAUUAUGGUAGAUUACUGUAUGUCAAGUUUGCUUUGAUCUGUUUAGAAUGAGACUCCAUUGAUUUCAAGAAAAUGAUCAUAUUUUUCUCAAGCUAACGGAAAAUUAAAACAGUAAAACAUGGUUAUAACAAAGAAGCUUAUAAUGAAUGGAGGCUUACAGCGAAGUGAUUUUUAUUCCCUGUGACUGUAUUACAUGUUGUAAACUUGUUGGAUAUAUCGAAUAUGCUUAUAACGAAGUAAAAUUGCCCUCUCUAGCACUUCAUUAUGAACAUCUCUUACUGUACAUGUAAAAACAAAAAUUAAUACAAAGGAUAUACAAUAUAAUGCAGCUACAUGUAAGUUAUCUGUGAAAAAGGUCUUUCAAUAUUGCCUGUCAUUAAGGAAGAUGAGCUGAACAGUUAACAUUGAUCUUAUGAAUUUUGUGUCAGUGCAAUAAUUGACUCUGUGAUGUAUUGUUUUAUUUGUUUCUAAUGUUUUGUAACAAAACUUUUAUGUUGGAGUUUUUACAAAAUAGAUAUUUUUUAAUGCGCAUGAUUUAGGGAUAUUCUACGGUAAGUUAUUAGUAAAAAUGUAAUUACAUGUAAGAAUUUUUUUAUAACAUACUUUUUUUGUUUUUUUUAUACACUGAUUUUAAGGUGUAUACAGGUGUGUUAUUUUAUUAUACAUGUGUUGAAUUUUGUUAAAACCAUAUAAUACUAUGAUUAGUACCUUAACACAGACAUGUCUUGUAUCAAAACUGUAACACAUACAUAUAUAGUACAUUUUUAAUUAUUCAGAAUCUGUGUAUUUCUAUCAUAAUUUAAAGAAGAAAAUAUCAUUUACCGGUAUUUGUAAAUAUAAAAAAAACAUCUUAACAAAUCAUUUUAGUGUUUUAUAUGCAUGUUUAUUUAUACAUCUUUGAAUAAAGAACAUAUUUUUUCAGUU